GACAAUAAGGUUAUGUCAGGAGAAUAUAAUACCCCUGCUAUAAAUAGAUGAUGUGAGCAAUCUGCUAACCCUCAAAAGGCACAAGAUUUCGAAUUUCACAAAAAAAAUAAUGGCUACGCAAACAGGACUAACAAUUAUAGUGUUGGUCCUUGUAAUGUCAAUAGCGGAGAUAAAAGGGAGAAACAGAUUUGGAACUAUCGAUAUGGUGGCUCCGUGUUGCAGAAAAGGAGGUGCGGUUCACCCCUCUGCAGAGUCUCUUACUCCCGCUCCAUCUCCAACAAAAUUACCUCUUACGUCGCCUCCAAGUUUAGCGGACUUGCUUACCUACAGGCGCGGAACUGGACAGCAGGUGGUCAGAACUCAGAACAACUGGAACUCCUUAGUAUUGUUAUAAAUAACCAGUUAGCUACUUAACCGCAUAUAUGACAAGUAGUAACUGGAGUUAUUGGUGAUUAGUACCGAGGAGUUACUGGGGCAGAUCACGCCUGCAACAUGUAGACAUGACUACAUUCUACCUAGCAUCUCCUUCAACCGCUACUCUUGUCAUUACUUCUACCUAGUAUGCCAUUAAGUGUAUAUAAAAGAACGGUUUUUCUAUGGUGUGCCCAUGGACACACAAUAGACCCUAAAUUCUAGUUUGGUGCAUUUUUGCCCCCUGCAUUUACACCAAGUCCACCAAUUAAAAUCCACCAAUCUCAUCAAAUUUGGUGUAUAAUGUGUGCUCAUGGGCACACACUAGAAAGACCCAAAAAAGUUUAUUUCUAAUUAAUCUGUUUUCUUCUAUAAGCACUUGGUUAAUUUGAUCAUUCUGUCAGUGUGACAUUCAGCUUUUUUUUUUUUGAAAAGCGAAAAUUUGGAAUUCAAUAAAACUCAGAAAUUCUUACAACUCUCCUGCGGGGAUGAGACAAAAGCAAACUGAAAUAGUAGGACAAACUACUAACAAAAGAUGUUGCACAUCAAGCAACCCUGGAAGAGAACCUGAGACCUAAACAAAAGCGGAACAAAUAGAACAUAAAUAAAACACCACAUAACAGUGCAUAACACACUGAAGAAACUACAGAAGUGAUCAAGGCCCCGCUUUCUUGGCAGCUUUCCCAUGCUUCAUGAACUCGGCGGCUUGUUCCAUUCCCAACAAUCCAUCAGCAGCUCCACUACCACUUACUGGAGCUUUUAUACAGCCAAGCUUUGGAAGGAGGUCUGCUAAAGCCCCCAAUAAGAUGCUCUGCAGCACAUCUUUAGCCAGAACUCCAGUGCCCACCAUUAUGUCAAGAGCAGUUUCAGAAGAAUUGAAUACUUGAGAGGAAUAGCCUGGUUUACGACCAUCCAUCAGAUUGAUGGCUUCAAGAGAGAACAGACCAUUCUUGUUAAAGCAGAGCUCAUUCAACACUUUUGCCUUACCCUUAUUGCGACCGCUCCUUACAGCCUCGACAGAAGACUCAGGCUCAGAAUAAAUGAAACCACCGGAAGAAGAACUCCAGUCCCCAAGCUUAACAUUUGAAAAAUAAAGGCACAUACGGGGGACCCAAAUAUACCGAAUCUCCAGGCGGCGUUAAUGAAGCAGACCUCCCCCAGAAGACUCAGUGGUCGCAAAACCCAGCAAAAAUUACUGUGGACUGUUAUACAGCUGUGAGGAAGUGAGUGGACAAUCCAAAAGAUUUAUCUGACCCACCUCAAAUUCUUUCAGAUUUGGUCUGCUUAAACCCUUCUUGGCUAAGUCAUCGGCUUGUUCAUUCAAGUACCUAGGAACAAAAUGAAUAAAGAUGGACUUGUUUAUGCGAUGUUGAAAUUCGAAUUCUACACGCUUAAGAGGGAAUUUUAUAAAAAUUCCUUCAUUAAACGCACUGACCACCUCAGAUGAAUCAGAGCAUAUUACUACUCUUUUGUGAUCAAUUCCAGUUUUUAUCAACCAGUGUAUAACCCGGAGAACCCCUUCCAACUCGGUAUAUGAUGCGUUGCAAGCGCUUACCGGCCCUGAGAAUGAGAAGAUUGUCUUGCCAGAACGAUCUUUCAAGUAGCCUCCAAUACUCCCUCCGAGAUUAGAAUCACUUAUCCUCCCCCAUGCUCCGUCUACUGCUGCAACAUAAUCAAAAUGGUCCCUUUUGUGCUUCCAGAAAGAGGAUGAGAUUUUAAAUAACCGAACAGCUAUUGCUCCUUGAGGGUUUACACGCCAUAACGGAUCGGCACCAAAACUGAAUAAGCCAGACGCAAUCCCCCAUUUGUCUAUUCGCAGGGCGAUUAUCUCUUUCAAGCUAUCUCGACUUAUCUUUUUUGUAGAGAAAACCGCUUCGUUUCGAGACAACCAAAUUGACCACAUUACUGCUACUACAACUAUUUGCCAAAUUGAACCUAUUUUAGCCGAGGAGAAGACUGAGAGUAAUUUUAUAAGGGAGAAAUUACCACUCCUGUGAAUUAGCCAAUUGAUACUCCACCACUGACCCACAAAAUGCCAUCCCCAGGCAGCCAACGUACAUUCCCAGAAUAAAUGAGAUACUGACUCCUGAGCUCUCUCGCACCAAGGGCAGAUUGUAGAUGAUCCACGUAUCCUUGAACUGAUGAACAUUCUCGUGGGAAUAAUGUUCCAUUGGACUUUCCACAGAAAGACUAAUAUUUUCGGGGGGGCUUUGAUAUUCCAAAUUACUCUCCAUAUGUAGCUACGGGAUUGAUCAGGGGCACUAGAAGAUAAUAUAAGAUCAAAACACGACUUUGAAGAGAACUGCUCCUUCCCUGGAAUCCAUAACAGUGCAUCCACCCCUGCCGAUAAAAUCACUUUAUCUAGCAACACGGACAAAGGAAAGAAGUCUGCCAUUGAUUCGACUAUCGUGGAGUUUAGCCAAAGGCAUGAAUCCACUUUAUUUUUCCUCCAAAUCUUGAAGAAUUCAGCCACUCUAAUGUGCUUAUCUCGGACCAGGGAAUAUAGAGAUGGGAACAAAGAUUUUAGAUCCCUGUCCCCAGUCCACCAGUCCUCCCACAAAUACACCAUGUCUCCUCCUCUGACUACCCAUUUGAAAUUCUCUCUACUUAAAAAUUUACCUAUGACUGGGUCCGAGAUCAGUUCCACUAUUCUUUUCAUAACUGGAGAACAGAAUUUCGUGUCCAGUUUGGAGAGAUCGUAAUGAAAGCAUGUACCAUAUCUCCUCAACAAAAAUUGGUUCCAUAAACUAUCUCUAUCAUUAUAUGCUCGCCAAAUCCAUUUCGCAAGAAUGACUAAGUUCUUGAGGCGAAAGGAUUGUAGUCCAAGACCACCCCAAUGUUUUGGGAGACAAAUCGUUUCCCAGUUUAUCAAAUGGAUCUUGUUGCCUCCCUUUUCAUUUUUCCCCCACAGAAACGCUCGUCUCUGCUGUUCUAGCUUGUUUGCCACCAUUUCUGGCAUCCUGUACAUUGAGAACCAAUAUAUAGGAAUGCUAUCAAUCGCAGCUCUUAGUAAAACAGUUUUCCCUGCUAACGAAACUCUAGAUGCAUCGUAUGAAUUAAUUUUUGCUGAGAAUUUGUGAAUAAGGGGAUCCCAAAAACGCACUGAUCUUGGAUUAGCACCCAGAGUCGCUCCUAGAUAGCUUAUCGGGCCUGAAUCAAUCUUGCAGCCUAACAUCGAGGCAUAAGCAUCAGCACGUUGAUGUGACAUUCAGCUUUAGUGCUUCCCCCUGCUUUUCCCUGCUUUUGUUUAUCUUUCCAAUGUUUUAUAUGAAAUUUAAACGACUUGGAAAGAAUCUCAAGGAUUUAAGGGUAAUGUACUAAGAGCAACUCCAACGGUGUUCAUAAAUCAUUCUUUUAAUAAUGAUAUAAAAUGUGGCUCUUAGUAAGUUAAUACAUUAGAAAACGUGAGAACUCCAAUGCUACUCUUUAUACUUGCUCCUUAUUCACAUUUUAUAUUUAUUUUAUAUAAAUGCGAGGGAAAAGUUAACUAAAAAAGAGAGAAGAUUGGAGAGAAAUUAAUAUAAUAUUGAGUUAAAAGCUACUAGAUGCUCUUUAAAAGAAAAGAGAGAGUAAGCUCCUAAAUUUUUAAAGAGCAUCUAGAACCCAUUGGAGCACUAAAUUUUGAUUUGCUCUUAAAAUUUAGGCUUAAGAGCUUGUUUAGAGAGCUCAUUGGAGUUGCUCUAACGUUAAGUGUUUUAAUUCUCUACAAAUCUGCACAUUAACCUAACAUAUUUUACACGUACACAGGUAGAUGUUAUUCUGUUACUCCUCGGUUCCCCUCAAUUGUUUAUAUUAGGAGACUAUGGUUCGCACAUAUUUUAAGGCUUUUAUAAAAUAUAGUUUAAUAAAUUAUUUUAAACUUCUUUUUUCUAUAUAAAAAUUUAAGAAUGUUUAAAUUUUUAUACAGAACAAGAAAUUUUUUUAAAAAAAUUAUGAAAUUAUACUUUUUAUACGUCUUAAAAUACAUGUAAAGCACUUGAAAAAAAAAUGUAAAAAAAUGAGAGUGACGGAAGUAGUACAUGAGCACUAUUGUUGUUCCUUUUACUUUCUUGUUUUUUACGUGCAUUUGUCUAUCUCUGCUACUGAUAUACUGCUUAAGUUUGAAAUAGCCUGAGCCAGAAAACAAAAAGGUCUGGAUAACCGGCCAUGGCUGGAUAGGAGUUGCAAUUCAAUCGGUAAAUCUUGAUCAUUGAUUAAAAAAAACGACGACUAAGAUUCGUCAUACCGGGUACCAUUCUCACUACUUCCUAGCAUCUUUUUAUAUCCGUUAUUGAAGACUCCGGAUGUUAAGGGACGAGGAAGGAAAGAUUUAAAGAUUAAACCUUUCUCAUAUCUGUUUACAAAUGUCUCAACUCUCGUAUUUGUUUAUAAAUGUUUCAAAUUUUGCAAAAAAAUUAAACUCCUCACUAUCCUUGUAUAAAUUCUAAAUCUACUGAAAAAUGAAUACUGAUAAAAUAGGGUCUUGAAUAUAAAGCACACAUUAAAUUUUAUAUUAUUCGGGUUAAUGAAAUUCGUCUUUAAGUAAAAAGAAAACAGACAAGAUAGUAACUAAACUUUCACUUAACAUAAUCCUGGUUAAUGCUUUCAAAAAAAAAAAUCCUGGUUAAUAUUCUCGAAAUUAAAACCAACAUAAUUACUCUGUCAAAAAAAAAAACCAACAUAAUUACUAAAGAUUAAAAUGAAAUACAUCAAAGUAGUUGGGCAUAUGAACACAGUAGUACAGUUUACACAACAUAUAAAACCUACAUGAUAGACGCAUUGAAACAGCGUUGCAUAAACUUGAGAUGAUCCUGUCUUUAUCUGGUGUAUCCGAGGAUUCUGUCUUUCUAUAACUAAAUAGUGUCAAGAUUGUUAGAGAUUUUUCUCGAUGAAAGACAUAAAUCUAAAUUCUGAUGCAAAUUUACAGGGCUACACUGUGUUCCAAUAAAAGCGAAAAAAAUACCAAGUAAAUAUUAGGUGUAUAUCGGUAACAAAUAUUGUGUAUUUAUAAUAUCCUAUUCCCGUCAAGGAAACGUAUUGUUUACCUAUUAAUUUUGUCAAUUUUGUUGGCUUCUCGUCGCUGCCAAACUAAAGCAAUAUACAGAAAAAUUUUCAGGGCACAUCACUCGCAUAGAAAAUGAACAACUUAAUAAAAUGACAGUUUGACGGUACAAAAUUGAAACAAGGGUCUUACGUUAGUUAGUACUACUGGGAAAUCUAAAGCAGCAUUACUUGUGAAAGAGAUCCAUGGGUUUAUUAAAGUUAACAUGCAAGCUAAGGACAAUAUGGUUAUGUCAAGUGAAUAUAGUGAUCCUCUGCUAUAUAAAUAGAUGAUGUGAGCAACCCUCAAUAGGCACAAGAUUUCGAACUUCACAAAAAAAAUAAUGGCUACGCAAAUAGGACUAACAAUUAUAGUGUUGGUCCUUCUAAUGUCAAUACCGGAGAUAAAAGGGGGAAACAGAUUUGGAUCUAUCGAUAUGGUGGCUUCAUGUUGCAGAAAAGGAGGUGCGGUUUACCCCUCUGCAGAGUCUCUUACUCCCACUCCAUCUCCAUCAGAAUUACCUCUUACAUUGCCUCCAAUUUUAGCGGAUUCACCCUACAGGGGCGGAACUGGACAGCCAGUGGUCACAACUGGAAAAGCAUCUCCUUAGAAUUGUUAUAAAUAAGCAGCUCGCUACUUAACCACAUAUAUGACAGAUGGUAACCGGAGUCGUCAGUGAUUAGUGCCGAGGAGUUAUUGGGGCAGAUCACACCUGCAACAUGUAGACAUGACUACAUUCUACCUAGCAUCUCCUUC
rnacentral:lncRNA from 1 species